CAGUGCUGGCUGAGGAGGAGAGGUGCCCUACAUCAGCAGCAGUGGCUCUGCCUCCCACUUCCUCUCUCCUUCCCUACCCCCCUUUCCUCCUCCUUCUCUCCCCCCACCCUUUUUUCUCUUUUUCCUUCCUUUCUUUUUUCCUUUCUUCCCUUCUUUUUUCCUUUUUUGUAUUUCACACAGGGUUCCUAUAGCCCAACUGGCCUAAUUCCUCUCACUUUCUCCAUUAAUUAACCACUGGAAAGAGGAGUCCAUCUGAACCCUGGAGGAGCCAGCCCUAGAAUGUGCAUACAGGAAGGGACUGUGGUUGGAUGUGAAAUGUCUCUUCCAAGCUCACGGUGCCAAGUGGGUGAUACUGCUUUGAAAUGCCUGGAGCCUUUGGGAGGUGGAGCCUGGCUGAAGGAGGAAACCUCAGAAGGUGGAUCUUAGGUCUUAUAGUCCAGUUAGCUUCCUCUUCCUUCUCUGCUUCCUGAUCCACCCAGAUGUGAACCAGCAACCUCCUACCCCAGCUGCCACAGAUUGCCUUGCAUCACGCAGGCUAGGACAUCCAACAGAGGCUGUCUACACACUGGAGAGGAUGAGAACCUAGGAAUUGUUGGGUCCAUAAAGCCCGACACCUCAGCAACUUGCCACUGAAGGUCUGGAAGAUUCCUAGAAAGCCACUGAUCUCCAUUUCAAGAUGCAACAGGAUUCCAAUGCCGUAACAGAGUAGAUGCAGGGGGCAGACACUGACAGGCAAAAAACAGCGGCUUGGGCUGGUAAGGUGGUUUAGCACAUAAAGGCACUUGUGGCCAAGCCUGAGAGCCUAAGUUCAAUCCCUGGGACCUGCAUGGUGGAAGGAGAGAAAAUUGACUCUCACAAGUUGUCCUAUGGUCUCUACACUUGUACCACGAAACACCCUCCACAUGCCCAAGGAGACAGUGUUUAUCCAGCUAUCUGGGCACCCUGGUCCAGCAAAGUUGACAGUGAGAUUGACCAGGACAUAUAAAGGACAGUGUGAGCCCUUCCUUCCCAUCCUAGUGGGCCAGCUCUUGAAUCCUCACUUGGGAAGUCAUCUCCACCAGGAGCUCAAUGCCAAGACCAGCGGAAGGCACUCUCCAACCUUUCAGAAUAUCAUCUGGGAAACCAUGACAACUUUUGGCUGAAGAAUCACCACUCCUCAGAAUUUACCAUGAAACAAGUUGUCUACCCUUGUAAGUACACCUAAGAGGACAACGUCAGAGAAGGACAAUGUCACACUGGCCAGAGACUACCAAGCUUAGUUCAGAAAAGGUUUAACUCUCAGUCCAUGCAGAAGUGGGGAGGUGCCUUAGGAAAGUCUCUAGUGAUUAUAGAAGGUUCUAGAACAGUGCUCCUCCUUCCUAAAUCCCGCUCAGUAAUAACUGGCACCUGCUGAGGUUUGGUCUAUUGCUAUGUUAAAUUCUAUACUGGAAUUCUAGGCCCCAGAGUGACUUCUCAUGUUUACAAGCUUUUGUUGUGCAAACCUUGUUCCUUGAUUUAAAACUCUUGGUUAAAUAGAGUUGGCUACUGGCUAUUACUGGAGGGAUUAGAGGCAGGUGGGUUUGGAGUGACCUGAAUGGAAGAGGAGAGACAAGGAGAGGAAGGAGGGAGAAGAGGAGGAGAGAGGAAGCUGCUGUGAACAGGAGAUGAGUGUGUGGACAGGAAAAACAGCAAGUGUCUGGGCUACACUGUUGGGGAGGUAGCCAGGCCAGCAGUUACAAGAGUAGAUUAGGGGUGACGCCCCCAGUAAUUGGCAAAGCCAAAUACAGCAAAUAAAGUAACCAUACUCUGAGGCUCAUUUAUUUGUAAGUAGUCGGGGAUAAGCUGAAAUUGGUUGUAUUAGAGGCACCAACAGUACCUUGGCAAAGGACCUAGAAUCUUCAGUUUUUCACCUUGAACCUGGAGUUGACUUGUUAACCAGGGUCAGUUCUAGAUGAAAUGACAGGAAGCACUCAAGAGGAAACUAUACUGCAAAGUUCCCUGGGUCAAAAAACAUGCUGUGGAAAGACUGGAGAUGUUUUGGUUGAGUGAGAUCCAAAAUCAAUUAGCUUUUUUUUUUCCUUCUCUAUUUCGAGUACAUAGCGCUCAUAGAACUUAGAUUUCAAUUUUAGAGUUUUCCAACAUGCUCUCCUGCAACCCCAGAGACACUUCCCAUCUGAAGUCUGGCAUUUACAUGGGCAAGUGCACUCAGUAGGUGCUCAAGGAGUGGCCGUGGCAGCACGAGGGACCCAACACGUGUUUCCUCCCCACCUUCCGAGUGGCCCACAUGGUCUUUCUGUUUCCAACGACACCCAAUCCCCACAACAAAGAAACUCACUAUCCCCAGCUGCUCCCUUCAGUGCACCUGGAGACAGGGGACAAAUGACUCCUCAGGUUUUCCCACACAUUGUGGAUUUUAGCUCUAGGAUGCUGUGUAGUUUACAUCAAACCUUUUUAUUUAUUUUUUUUUAUUUAUAUGACUCCUGGCUUCUGUUCAUCAACAUGGUGUUUUCAUUUUUGCCCAUGCUGUUUGUAGUAGGCGCUCUGUCCUUUGUGUCAGCUUUCUAUCUUCUAUGUAGACCACAAAUGGUUUAUUUGUCCUUUUGUUAUUGGCAUCUGGGUUCUUUAUUUCCAGCUAAAAUAAAUGCAAUCACAAAUAAAUAGAAAUAUGAAAACAGUCUAGGCAUGGUGCUACAUGUCUGCAAUCCCCAGCACUUAAGAGUCUGGGGCAAAAGAAGUGCAAGUUUAAGGCUAGCCUAGACUACAUAGUAAGAUACUACCAGAGAGAGAG
rnacentral:sRNA from 1 species